rnacentral:rRNA from 1 species
AGUGAACGCUGGCGGUAGGCCUAACACAUGCAAGUCGAACGGCAGCACAGUGAGAGCUUGCUCAUACAGGGGGCGAGUGGCGGACGGUUCAUGGGAACCUCGGUGUCUGUUUUUUCUUACGUGCGGACAUAGGCAAUCAUACGCCAUAACCGCUGAGGGCCUACGGGGGGAAUCAUCGGACCUUCCGCCCUCAGACGAUCCGAUGUCGGAUUAGCUAGUUGGCGGGGUAAAGGCCUACCAAGGCGACGAUCCGUAGCUGGUCUGAGAGGAUGAUCAGUCACACUGGAACUGAGACACGGUCCAGACUCCUACGGGAGGCAGCAGUGGGGAAUAUUGGACAAUGGGCGCAAGCCUGAUCCAGCCAUGCCGCGUGGGUGAAGAAGGCCUUCGGGUUGUAAAGCCCUUUUGUUGGGAAAGAAAAGCAGUAGGUUAAUACCCCGCUGUUUUGACGGUACCAAAAGAAUAAGCACCGGCUAACUUCGUG